AUAAUUCCAUGUUGAAUUUUGUUGCAGUCAAAUGGCAUGAGAACAACCUCUCUCUUUAGGAAAGCUUAAAUUUAAGUAGAAGUCGAUAUUUUUGUUCCACAUAAAACCCAAGUGAACCCUAAAUUUAGAUUCCAUGUUAUUGUAGGCACAUCACUGUCAUGCUUGCCACUAUUUUAAAACAGUAACAGUGAAUUUGCCUUGUGUUUCACAUUUACACAACAAUAACAACAACAAUGACAACACAAGUGGAGCAUCUAAUCAACAACAAUGACAACACUAGUGGAGCAUCCAAUCAACCCAGUAGAAUUAAAACCUAAAAAAGUAUUUUACUUAUUCUUGCUGUAUUCAAGCAUCCUUCUUUGUCCUCCACAAUUCACUCCAUGGCAUGUGACAACGUAUGCCACAAGUCAAAAAAGUGUGUUCCCCACUCUAACACAUGAAAACCAAGGGGCUUGUAUCAUGCAACCUACACAUCUCAAACCCCCUUUUCUAACCUAAUCAGGCUCAACUUUAGGCUAACCUCAACCUUAUUGCUAUAAAGGGAAAAGAGACUUUGGGAUGGCAAGUUGUUAGGCAGUGAAUGAAGAAGUGGUUGGGGGCUCAUAAGAUAGGAAAAGCAUGGGCAGCUUGUAGGGAGGAAGAGAGGUCAAAGGAGGGUUGCUGGCAAAACAGUAUGGGACAAUGGAGGACUCACCACUUAUGUGUGAUCAGCUGAGAGAUAAGCUUCCUGUGGUGACUCUCUUGCAAACAAAGAAAAAAAGGGGCUUUGGCACUAGGGUGUUGCUUUCAUUGCCUCUGCUUGGUUUGGCAUGUUCUCAACAAAACAAAUAAAAAAAAACCAGUCUAAACUGACUCUUCCGCACUUCUAGCCUCCUGGUACUCUAACCACUGUGUAAUGUGUGUUUUUUUUUUUUUUUUUUUUUUUUUUUUUU
rnacentral:lncRNA from 1 species